rnacentral:rRNA from 1 species
ACGUUGACCUCGAAUCAGG